AGCGAACGCUGGCGGCAGGCUUAACACAUGCAAGUCGAGCGGGCGUAGCAAUACGUCAGCGGCAGACGGGUGAGUAACGCGUGGGAACAUACCUUUUGGUUCGGAACAACACAGGGAAACUUGUGCUAAUACCGGAUAAGCCCUUACGGGGAAAGAUUUAUCGCCGAAAGAUUGGCCCGCGUCUGAUUAGCUAGUUGGUGAGGUAAUGGCUCACCAAGGCGACGAUCAGUAGCUGGUCUGAGAGGAUGAUCAGCCACAUUGGGACUGAGACACGGCCCAAACUCCUACGGGAGGCAGCAGUGGGGAAUAUUGGACAAUGGGGGCAACCCUGAUCCAGCCAUGCCGCGUGAGUGAUGAAGGCCCUAGGGUUGUAAAGCUCUUUUGUGCGGGAAGAUAAUGACGGUACCGCAAGAAUAAG
rnacentral:rRNA from 1 species